rnacentral:lncRNA from 1 species
CUUAUAUUCUAAUUCGCCAGCUCAAACGAAUAUAAAUUAUUUAAUAAAUAAAACAACACAUAUAUAGGAUAAGUGUGCCUACAGCUGUAGCAGCCUUUAAUAUUAACUUUACAUUCAAUAUAAUUCUCAAACUAAAGUCCUUCACUAUAAUUCAGGCACACUACCAAUCCAAUCAUACAAUAGCACAGUAAUAUACAGUUACACAAUCAAAAACUAUCUACAAAAGAGGAAAAAUUCAUAUUAAUAUAAUGUAAUAUAUGAUGUAUAUACUCCCAUUAACGAUAACCAUCUCAUAAAAGGGUGGGUGGUGGGUAAACAUAAUAACGAAUGCUGCUACUUUGAACUAUAGGCAAACUUCGAAUAACUUUAUUUUCUCAAACUAACCCCUUAAGUAAUACUUAAUCAUGCUUUUCACGAAAAUCAUGAGGGCAUAUACCCGUAAAACCGGCACUACAAGUAUAUGCCAUCCAAUCAAAUUGAACGUAAACACACACCAUGUGCUAGAUAUAAACACACACACGUGUUUAUAGUAAACAAUCACUUGACCGUUAUAACGUCAUGUGACCAAUAACUUUAAUAAAUAUAU